GCCCUGCUGGUAGACGGAGUAGGCACUGCUGGGCUUGGCGUGCGCGGUGAGUGCCGCCUUGAUGCGCUGGCCGGUCCAGUCCGGGUGGCGCU
rnacentral:tRNA from 1 species